rnacentral:tRNA from 1 species
GGGGUUGUGGCUCAGUGGUAGAGCACACUCGCCUGGAAUGUGAGAGACCCUGGGUUCGAUCCUUAGCACCACA